rnacentral:rRNA from 1 species
GCUGAAGAGAGGAGCUUGCUCUUCUUGGAUGAGUUGCGAACGGGUGAGUAACGCGUAGGUAACCUGCCUUGUAGCGGGGGAUAACUAUUGGAAACGAUAGCUAAUACCGCAUAACAAUGGAUGACACAUGUCAUUUAUUUGAAAGGGGCAAUUGCUCCACUACAAGAUGGACCUGCGUUGUAUUAGCUAGUAGGUGAGGUAACGGCUCACCUAGGCGACGAUACAUAGCCGACCUGAGAGGGUGAUCGGCCACACUGGGACUGAGACACGGCCCAGACUCCUACGGGAGGCAGCAGUAGGGAAUCUUCGGCAAUGGGGGCAACCCUGACCGAGCAACGCCGCGUGAGUGAAGAAGGUUUUCGGAUCGUAAAGCUCUGUUGUAAGUCAAGAACGAGUGUGAGAGUGGAAAGUUCACACUGUGACGGUAGCUUACCAGAAAGGGACGGCUAACUACGUGCCAGCAGCCGCGGUAAUACGUAGGUCCCGAGCGUUGUCCGGAUUUAUUGGGCGUAAAGCGAGCGCAGGCGGUUUGAUAAGUCUGAAGUUAAAGGCUGUGGCUCAACCAUAGUUCGCUUUGGAAACUGUCAAACUUGAGUGCAGAAGGGGAGAGUGGAAUUCCAUGUGUAGCGGUGAAAUGCGUAGAUAUAUGGAGGAACACCGGUGGCGAAAGCGGCUCUCUGGUCUGUAACUGACGCUGAGGCUCGAAAGCGUGGGGAGCGAACAGGAUUAGAUACCCUGGUAGUCCACGCCGUAAACGAUGAGUGCUAGGUGUUGGAUCCUUUCCGGGAUUCAGUGCCGCAGCUAACGCAUUAAGCACUCCGCCUGGGGAGUACGACCGCAAGGUUGAAACUCAAAGGAAUUGACGGGGGCCCGCACAAGCGGUGGAGCAUGUGGUUUAAUUCGAAGCAACGCGAAGAACCUUACCAGGUCUUGACAUCCCGAUGCUAUUUCUAGAAGAUAGAAAGUUACUUCGGUACAUCGGUGACAGGUGGUGCAUGGUUGUCGUCAGCUCGUGUCGUGAGAUGUUGGGUUAAGUCCCGCAACGAGCGCAACCCCUAUUGUUAGUUGCCAUCAUUCAGUUGGGCACUCUAGCGAGACUGCCGGUAAUAAACCGGAGGAAGGUGGGGAUGACGUCAAAUCAUCAUGCCCCUUAUGACCUGGGCUACACACGUGCUACAAUGGUUGGUACAACGAGUUGCGAGUCGGUGACGGCAAGCUAAUCUCUUAAAGCCAAUCUCAGUUCGGAUUGUAGGCUGCAACUCGCCUACAUGAAGUCGGAAUCGCUAGUAAUCGCGGAUCAGCACGCCGCGGUGAAUACGUUCCCGGGCCUUGUACACACCGCCCGUCACACCACGAGAGUUUGUAACACCCGAAGUCGGUGAGGUAACCUUUUGGAGCCAGCCG